UAGAUUGGAACACGAAUUCAGCUUCGAAGCCAUGACACUGAAAGCUAAUAUUGUCCCAGCUCACACAUGAACUUGUCUCUUUUCUUUUUCCCCAUUUUGCGUUAAAAUAUUUAUGAACGAUCGUGAAAAACCAUUACUCUUUAUUGGUCCAAACUUUUUUUUACAGUCCAUAUGUCAUCCUUUUUGCCCACCUAAUAUAAGAGCACACUGUUCAAGGCUGAUCUUUAGACGAGUAGCAUAUAAAUUCAUUGAUACAAAUAACAUAAAACAUGAUUCAGAUGAGAGAGUAUGUAUAAGAUAGAUCAUGGAUAUCUAAAUUUUGCUAAACGCAUUAUAAACACAACUUUUUGCAUGGAAAUAUCUAUUAUAUUGUUCCACUUCCAUUAGAUCACCUAGUAUAAUUUUAGUAAAUCGGGGAUUAAAUACAAAUUAAAGUUAGACAUUUUUACUUAUCUGUUUUGAUUAUUUUUAGUUCAAAGAAUAAAAAAUAAAAUAAAAUGGAAAAACAUGACACGUUUAUCAGUCCACGUUAUAUAUAAAUAUGGCCAUCAUGUACCCGUAACGUUACCAUUGAAAACAAAAAACACUGAUUGGGUUUUGUCAUAAAAACAAAACAAGAAGAAGAAAGAAGCGAUAAAAAAUCUGAAAACUUGUGAUAGUGUUUACUCACAGAUAAUGAAAAUGAAAUCGACCGUCGUCAUGAGUUUCCUCAUCAUAUACCUCCUCCUUGCAGUGCC
rnacentral:lncRNA from 1 species